CUAGAUCUGCAUGGAUGGGAGUGGUCGGAAAGGUGGCUCGAACAGGCUGUCCGAAAGAAAAAAUUUGAAAGCUGGCCCGGAAAAUGAGUCACGCGCCGGCGCGUGGGGGUGGCCUCGCCGGAGCUUCGCCGCGCGUGGAGGUGCGUGUGUGGCUGUUCGUCGGAGAUCUUUUCGGGGUAGGUUUGCGAUUCCGGGGUCUCUCUGGUGGUGUUUGUAGAAACUCAAGAUUACGGGUUCUCAGGCUCCUCGGGAGUGUGCCUGAGAAAAUCUGACUUUACUGUGACUUUACACUUGCACAGAACUUACAAUUACAAUUACCUUAUAAUUGUUGCACAAGUAUUUAAACUUUCAUCCUUGAUGUAUUCUUGUCGAUGGACAUCCAAAAGACUGAUGGUUUUCCAGUAGCCACCUUGGUGUUUAUGGGCUUAUUCAAUUUGCUGCACUGGGGUUUAAUAUUUUGCAUUUUGAAAUUCUCUUGGACUUCACUUCUUGGUUUCAUUUGACCUUAAAUUUUUACUACAAAAUACCAUUUUGAUUGCAUAUGGUUUUUUUGGUACAUAUUUGUAAUUUGUGGAUCUGGUGAGGAUAUACUUUUUUAUCUGCAUUAGUAAAUGUCGGAUUACAAAUGAUGUGGAUUUUACCUGUUCAUCUAUUGUAUUUGUUUGCACUUGCGUAGAGCAUGAAGCUGUGGUUUGGCCGUGGAGAUGCAAUUAGGCCCGAUGAGAUGAACCCCGACUACAUGAGUAAGUCAAAAGACAAUAAACAGUUGAGCUAAUGGAGUUGGGUUCGCUUGCCGUGGUGGAUCUAGCACCUACCGUUCCUUCCAAUAUAAGCCCAAAUUCUACACUGUUUAUCCACAGAAUAAUUGCCAGGAGCGACACCAGCGGUGUGUAUACAUGAUAUCUCUGUCAUUGAUUGAUGAUUCUGGUGGAUUUGACCCUUAAUUAUUAUUUGUAUGAAAUGUAAACAGAAUAAAAGUAUGUCGAAAGUGACAGUUUGAAGUGUUGCAUUUGAAUAGGAAGGAUGUUCCUGAGAGUGGUUGGAUUUAUGUUGAGGAUUUCUAUCAACUCCAUUUUUAAAUACUCAAG
rnacentral:lncRNA from 1 species